GACGAACGCUGGCGGAGUGCCUAAUACAUGCAAGUCGAACGAUGAAGCACCUUCGGGUGUGGAAGAGUGGCGGACGGGUGAGUAACGCGUAGGAAACGUACCCUAGAGCGGGGGACAACAGUUGGAAACGACUGCUAAUACCGCAUAGGUACCGAGUUGAAAUACUCGGUAUGAAAGGAGCAAUCCACUUUAGGAUCGGCCUGCGUAUGAUUAGCUUGUUGGUGGGGUAAAGGCCUACCAAGGCGAUGAUCAUUAGUUGGUCUGAGAGGACGAUCAGCCACAGUGGGACUGAGACACGGCCCACACUCCUACGGGAGGCAGCAGUAAGGAAUUUUGCGCAAUGGGCGAAAGCCUGACGCAGCAACUCCGCGUGAAGGAUGAAGCUUUUCGGAGUGUAAACUUCUGUCAGCAGGGACGAUAAUGACGGUACCUGCAAAGGAAGCACCGGCUAACUACG
rnacentral:rRNA from 1 species